rnacentral:rRNA from 1 species
UACGAAGGGGGCUAGCGUUGCUCGGAAUCACUGGGCGUAAAGCGCACGUAGGCGGAUCUUUAAGUCAGGGGUGAAAUCCUGGAGCUCAACUCCAGAACUGCCUUUGAUACUGAGGAUCUUGAGUCCGGGAGAGGUGAGUGGAACUCCGAGUGUAGAGGUGAAAUUCGUAGAUAUUCGGAAGAACACCAGUGGCGAAGGCGGCUCACUGGUCCGGUACUGACGCUGAGGUGCGAAAGCGUGGGGAGCAAACAGG